GCGGAACGGAGCAAUCCGGUCCG
rnacentral:snRNA from 1 species